AACGUAGGUUCCGAGCGUUAUCCGGAUUUACUGGGCGUAAAGCGCGUUCAGGCGGUUUGGCAAGUCGGGCAUGAAAUCUCUCGGCUCAACCGGGGGAGGUUGUCCGAUACUGCUGGACUUGAGGGCAGUAGAGGGUGGUGGAAUUCCGGGUGUAGUGGUGAAAUGCGUAGAUAUCCGGAGGAACACCAGUGGCGAAAGCGGCCACCUGGACGGUACCUGACGCUGACACGCGAAAGCUAGGGGAGCGAACGGG
rnacentral:rRNA from 1 species